rfam:Oryza sativa (indica cultivar-group) chromosome 2, whole genome shotgun sequence.
CGUACCAAAAUCCCGGCAAAAACAUCUUCAAACUUUAUAAUAGUAGAGAUAGAGAUUAGUAUUGUUAUUAUUAUUAGAUGAUAAAAUAUAAAUAGUACUUUAUACGUGACUUAACUUGUAAAAAUUUUUCAUAAAUUUUUCAAAUAUGACAUAUGGUCAAACGUUGAACACGGAAAUUUAUGGUUGUACUUAUG